rnacentral:misc_RNA from 1 species
GAUGAAGAACGUAGCGAAAUGCGAUACUUGGUGUGAAUUGCAGAAUCCCGUGAACCAUCGAGUCUUUGAACGCAAGUUGCGCCCGAAGCCUCGGCUAAGGGCACGUCUGCCUGGGCGUCACGCAUCGCGUCUCCCCCAAACCGCCAAGGCGGAGGGGAAGGAAGAUGGCUUCCCGUGCCUCACCCGGGCGCGGUUGGCCUAAAUUUGGAGCCCGCGGCACUUAGCUCUCGUGGCGAUAGGUGGUGAACAAGGCCUUGGCCGUGCAAACAACCAGCUGCGAAGCUCUAUGUCACGUGCGCUCGUCGGACCCUUUGAAGUUGCCUUCGGUGACUUAAAACCUUUGCGACCCCAGGUCAGGCGGGGCUACCCGCUGAAUUUAAGCAUAUCAAUAAGCGGAGGA